ensembl:lncRNA
AAGUAUUAUAAUACUCCUUUAGUAAUACAAUUGUAUGCAGAAGUUGGUACAGAGUACAGUACAUAAUAGCUCUCCCCAGGUUGUGCAAAAUGUCUAAGACAUCCUGUAACUCAUAGAGCCUCUCCCAGUCCUCCUUGCGUGAGUUUCCCUGACAACAACAUUUUAAUAAAUCUAACCUCACCCUGACAGCAGCAACCAUCUUAUCAGCAAUUAAAAGCUCAGAAGUGGGUUGACAGAAACUUGACCUUCCAUCACAAGUAUAGAGUCAUAACAAGGUGAACGAGUCCAAGCAUAUUCUGACAGGUGGCUGUUUUCAUCAGGCUUGCGGCAGCCUUGUGUUUUCAGAACCUCAGAUAACCAUGGUGGGUCCCAGACAGGAGGAGUAUGAACGUACUGUAGGCGGUUUCAGUCUUCUGAUAGUGUCUGAAGGGCACAACACUCGAAACAGGUUUUAACACACACACACAGAGUUUAUCAUAGCACAAUAUAUUAACCCUUUAAAAGGUAUGAGGCCUUGGUUUAACCCUCUUCAGGUUCCUUAGUCUUCUUCAACCUUGUGUUGAAUUUUGGGUACACAACUAAUUCGGACAUUGGCUGGAGCUCGUGGUUGCUUAGUCUGCUAUAUUAGCUCUGAACUCACGUGUUUUAUACCCUCUGGUCAGAAAUGGGCGUUUCCACCUUUAGGGCAAGUUCUCUGGUCGUAACUAGCUACGAUGCAAGGUCUGGAUUUUACUCAGAUCCAAUUUAGACAACUAACUUCACAUUACAUCUUUACAAAUACAAUAUCUUUGAUCUGGACAUUUUCCACACAACGUACAGUAUGCAAACCUCAAGUACAUAGUGUGAAAACUCUUCAAGUUAUAAUGUUUUCGUUAUAACGUCGUCAUUUAACUUUUAAUAACAUAACAAAAACGACACUCAUAUCAUUUCAUAUUCCAUCUAUUGUCACUACUACCACGAAACAUAUUGUCCCAAAGUCCAUUUAUUGCAUGUUACUGUUCAGAGGUAGAUUCUCCAUAGGCCCAUCAUACAUUCCAUCCCUCCAUACUGAGAGGACAAAGGGGAUUUUGUCUGCUGCCUUAAGAUUUACAAUGGGUGGGAGGUGUAAUGAAAUCCCCCACCUCCAUAACUCUCGAUCUCUCCCCCGCUGGUGGGUGUGAGAGAUAUCGCUGUAGGAUUAUGGUCUAUGGUAUCCUGACCCAAACAGGCCAGUCAUGACAGUGUACAUCAGGUUUACUCUUUUCAUCUCAAAAUAUAAAACUGCAAUAGUAACUGAUCUGAAGGGGUCUCAUCUCUCUGUGUGUACUACCUCUAAUGUUACCUUUCCCUGACCUGCAGCUACCACUAAUGCACCAUCCGUUUCAAUUUAAUAAGCUGGGAUGCCCAGCCAGGGCUACUUUAAUUGUGGUAGCUAAUGGAGUGAGCUGGUGGCUGCUGCCUGGAUGGUCAGGCAUGGUAUUUCUGAAGAGACAUUUGGCUCUGAGGAUGGUGUUUUUGUCUCUCAGCAAUAGGAUUAGGACUUCCUCCAGGGCCCUCUCAGAGCCCUGCCUGCUGUGUUCUGUUCUGAUCAAGGUCAAGUGUAGACUGCUUGCCUGCCGUGGUGCUCAACUGUAAAUAAGGACUGGUCCAUAUUUCAAACAUACGUUUGAUCGCACAGCUCCGUCCUUUCUCCUUACAGAACAUGCAAGUCAACAACAAGUGUGCAAAAGGCUCAGUACACACAGCAACAAUUGUCACGCCUACUCCCGCUCCCUCUCUCCAGCGCUAGGCGUCGCCGGUCUGCUAACCACCGGCCCUGGCAACAAUCAUUACGCACACCUGGUCAUCAUUAUCUCCUUGAUUACUCCCCCUUUAUUUAGCCCUCAGUUGACAGCAGUCACUAGGUAGUAUUGUUUUCUCUCACGUUCUGUACGCUUCUCACAUUUUGUUCAUCUGCUUCGAUUCAUUAUUAAACUCACCUUCUGCACCUGCCCCUGACUCCCAGCGUAUUACGUUACACCAAUCUGCUAUGAAAAUCACAAUACUUUCCAGUAAUAGAGGUGAAUAUGCAUUAAGUUGAUAAUUUCUGAACAUCAGGUUUGCAUAUAGCUUACUCUUACCUUCAGGCAUUAUUAUGACGCAUCAUAUAUCCUUUGGUUACCAUGCAUAACUGGUGGAAACAAAGCAAUGGGUAACAUUACAAUUCAGGUUUGAGUCAUAUUCCAUUCAUUAUUUGGAGUGCCUUUAAUGAUUACAGAACAAACUAAAAUGAACAUUUAUACGAUUGAUUAGCCUCAUCCUUCAUCAAUUUUAAUUAGGCCUAUAGAAAAGUAUCGAGCAUCCCUAGAGUCCAAACAUUUUUUGUUUACUUUUUAGUGAUAUCCAAUUGGUAGUUAGUCUUGUCCCAUCUCUGCAACUCCAGUACGGACUUGGGAGAGGCAAAGGUCGAGAGCCAUGCGUCCCCCCCAAGCACGAUCCUGCAAAGUCACACUGCUUCUUGACAAUGUGUCAGAGGAAACACAGUACAACUGGUGACCGUGUCAGCGUGCAUGUGCCCGGCCCACCACAGUAGUAGCUAGAGUGCAAUGGGACAAGGACAUCCCGGCCAGCCAAACCCUCCCCUAACCCGGACGACGAGAGUGCUGCGCCACUCGGGAGGCCUAGAGUCCAAUUUGACCUGAGCCAAGACGUCUUACCUUCAGAUGCAUCCUGCAGAUCCACAUUGGGUACAAGUGGUCAACUCACCCUCCUGUUGCUCUAUUAAAGUCCUGCUGUAAACUUUUUCAUAAGUUAGUCACUCUACGUCUUACCCCUCACAUAAGACACAGCCACCUCACAAACACACACAUACACACUCCCUGGCCUGAGCUCGCUCUGCGUCACAAUGGGAAGCAAUUAUCUACGUCUGCUGCUCUUUACUGAGAGGGGUGAGGGGCUGUAUAACCUGAGGCUGGUGUUGUUCACAAUAAGCUUUAUCUG